GAUGAACGCUGGCGGCGUGCCUAAUACAUGCAAGUCGAGCGAACGGACGAGAAGCUUGCUUCUUUGAUGUUAGCGGCGGACGGGUGAGUAACACGUGGAUAACCUACCUAUAAGACUGGGAUCACUUCGGGAAACCGGAGCUAAUACCGGAUAAUAUUUUGAACCGCAUGGUUCAAAAGUGAAAGACGGUCUUGCUGUCUCUUCUAGAUGGAUCCGCGCUGCAUUAGCUAGUUGGUAAGGUCACGGCUUACCAAGGCAACGAUGCAUAGCCGACCGCAGAGGGUGAUCGGCCACACUGGAACGUGAACACGGUCCAGACUCCUACGAGAGGCAGCAGUAUGGAAUCUUCCGCAAUAGGCGAAAGCCUUACGGAGCAACGCCGCGUGAGUGAUGAAGAUCUUCGGAUCGUAAAACUCUGUUAUUAGGUAAGAACAUAUGUGUAAGUAACUGUGCACAUCUUGACGGUACCUAAUCAGAAAGCCACGGCUAACUACGUG
rnacentral:rRNA from 1 species